GCCUGCUGCAAUCGAAAUUAUCCGCCUCCCAAGAGAAAUAAAGCGUAAAAUAUUAUAUAAUCAAUUCUAUUAACAAAAUGUCAUAUCGGCCCUAUGUUGCUACUAACAUAAUGCCAACAUUUGCCCGAUUAUUUAUAACCAACAUGAGAUAAUAAUAUGAAUUUACAACAACAGACCAACGUUUGGCCAAUGUUGUGCAGCCGACACCAACGUGCGACCAAUGUACCGACAAUUUGCCAACGUUGGGCCAAUGUUGUGCAGCCAACAUAAACUUGCGACCAACGGACCGACAAUUUGCCAACAUUGGGCCAAUGUUGUGCAGCCAACAUAAACUUGCGACCAAC
rnacentral:lncRNA from 1 species